rnacentral:rRNA from 1 species
GGGUAGGGAUACCCGCUGAACUUAAGCAUAUCAAUAAGCGGAGGAAAAGAAACCAACAGGGAUUGCCCUAGUAACGGCGAGUGAAGCGGCAAUAGCUCAGAUUUGAAAGCUGGUGUCUUUGACACACGCGUUGUAAUCUGUAGAGGGGUGUUCGGGUAUGGCCUUGGCUUAAGUUCCUUCGAACAGGACAUCAUGGAGGGUGAAAAUCCCGUGAAUAGCCUUGGUCCUAUGCCUAUGUGAACCCCCUUCAACGAGUCGAGUUGUUUGGGAAUGCAGCUCUAAAUGGGUGGUAUAUUUCAUCUAAAGCUAAAUACUGGCAGGAGACCGAUAGCGCACAAGUAGAGUGAUCGAAAGAUGAAAAGAACUUUGGAAAGAGAGUCAAAUAGUACGUGAAAUUGUUGAAAGGGAAGCACUUGCGCCUAGACUUGCUUGUAGUUGAUCAGCCGUCAUUUUUGAUGGUGCACUUGACUGUAGGCAGGCCAGCAUCGGUUAUGGUGGUGAGAAAAAGGUGUAGGGAAUGUGGCUCCUUCGGGAGUGUUAUAGCCCUGUGCGUAAUAUUACCUAU